UACGUAGGGUGCGAGCGUUGUCCGGAAUUAUUGGGCGUAAAGAGCUCGUAGGCGGUGUGUCGCGUCGGCCGUGAAAACUCGGGGCUCAACCCCGAGCCUGCUUUCGAUACGGGCGGACUAGAGGUAGGUAGGGGAGAACGGAAUUCCUGGUGUAGCGGUGGAAUGCGCAGAUAUCAGGAGGAACACCGGUGGCGAAGGCGGUUCUCUGGGCCUUACCUGACGCUGAGGAGCGAAAGCGUGGGGAGCGAACAGG
rnacentral:rRNA from 1 species